rnacentral:tRNA from 7 species
GCCGAAGUAGCUCAGUCGGUAGAGCAAUUCAUUCGUAAUGAAUAGGUCACCGGUUCAAUUCCGGUCUUCGGCU